rnacentral:rRNA from 1 species
AGAGGGUGCGAGCGUUAAUCGGAAUUACUGGGCGUAAAGGGCGCGUAGGUGGGAUGAUAAGUUGGUUGUGAAAUUCCUGGGCUUAACCUAGGGCGGUCAAUCAAAACUAUGAUUCUAGAGUACGGUAGAGGGAAGUAGAAUUUCCGGUGUAGCGGUGAAAUGCGUAGAGAUCGGAAGGAAUAUCGGUGGCGAAGGCGGCUUCCUGGACUGAUACUGACACUGAGGCGCGAAAGCGUGGGUAGCGAACAGGAUUAGAUACCCUGGUAGUCCACGCUGUAAACGAUGAGAACUAGCCGUUGGGACCCUUAGAGGUUUUAGUGGCGCAGCAAACGCGAUAAGUUCUCCGCCUGGGGGAGUACGGCCGCAAGGCUA